rnacentral:rRNA from 1 species
UUCAGUAACGAAGCUAACGCGUGAAGUUGACCGCCUGGGGAGUACGGCCGCAAGGUUGGAACUCAAAGGAAUUGACGGGGACCCGCACAAGCGGUGGAUGAUGUGGUUUAAUUCGAUGCAACGCGAAAAACCUUACCUACCCUUGACAUGCCAGGAACUUGCCAGAGAUGGCUUGGUGCUCGAAAGAGAACCUGGACACAGGUGCUGCAUGGCCGUCGUCAGCUCGUGUCGUGAGAUGUUGGGUUAAGUCCCGCAACGAGCGCAACCCUUGUCGUUAGUUGCUACGAAAGGGCACUCUAAUGAGACUGCCGGUGACAAACCGGAGGAAGGUGGGGAUGACGUCAGGUCCUCAUGGCCCUUAUGGGUGGGGCUACAUACGUCAUACAAUGGCCGGUACAGAGGGCUGCCAACCCGCGAGGGGGAGCCAAUCCCAGAAAACCGGUCGUAGUCCGGAUCGCAGUCUGCAACUCGACUGCGUGAAGUCGGAAUCGCUAGUAAUCGCGGAUCAGCUUGCCGCGGUGAAUACGUUCCCGGGUCUUGUACACACCGCCCGUCACACCAUGGGAGCGGGUUCUGCCAGAAGUAGUUAGCCUAACCGCAAGGAGGGCGAUUACCACGGCAGGGUUCGUGACUGGGGUGAAGUCGUAACAAGGUAGCCGUAUCGGAAGGUGCGGCUGGAUCACCUCCUU